GAUGAAGAACGUAGCGAAAUGCGAUAAGUAAUGUGAAUUGCAGAAUUCAGUGAAUCAUCGAAUCUUUGAACGCACAUCGCGCCCGCCAGUAUUCUGGCGGGCAUGCCUGUUCGAGCGUCAUUUCAACCAUCAAGCCCCAGGCUUGUGUUGGGGACCUGCGGCUGCCGCAGGCCCUGAAAACCAGUGGCGGGCUCGCUGUCACACCGGGCGUAGUAGAUUUUAUCUCGCUCUGGGCGUGCUGCGGGUUCCGGCCGUUAAAAAACCCUUUUAACCCAAGGUUGACCUCGGAUCAGGUAGGAAUACCCGCUGAACUUAAGCAUAUCAAUAAGCGGAGGA
rnacentral:misc_RNA from 1 species